UGUCGAUUGAGCAUAGCCUUAUCUAAUUAGGGGUAUAACAGGAAAGACUGAGUUCUUCUCAACAUAUGGGAGGGAAAUCUUUGCAUUUGGCGCCCGGUACUGGUAGGCGGUGGCGCAUCUGAAAAAAAGGGCGGUGGCCGGCGGCGCAUCUGGCUUGCUGGUGGUGACAAGGGCGACGGCCGACGACAGCCGUCGAGACGUCGAUCCCGUGUCGCCCUGUCCCCUUGGUGGUUGCGUGUCUGCGUGAUUCGGCGGCCGGUGGCCGGGGCCAGCACGACGCUUGCUCCAUGAUCCAGCCCGCCAUGGCUCCACCUCCGUGACUCCUCGUCCGUGCCAUGCGGCGGUGCGCGCCCGGCGGCCGGAAGAGGGCCGCUCCACAAGCAAGAAAGCAAAGCCAGCACAACAUAGCCAACGGUUAGUUUCCAGAGUUCCAGAUUCAAUACCUUAUUGAUUCAAUUUGUAUAAUGUGUGUUAGGACUUGAGUUAGAGACUUCGCAGAUUUAGUCAGAACAUUAAACCUGCAUGCAACUCAGUAGGCUAAUGAGUAGGAUAUUAAAUGGAUA